rnacentral:RNase_P_RNA from 1 species
AUUUUUGGAUAAUCGCGUGGAGAGUUUAUCUUUUCAUGAGGAAAGUCCAUGCUAGCACAGGCUGUGAUGCCUGUAGUGUUUGUGCUAGGCGAAACCAUAAGCCUAGAACAGAGAGAGUGGAACGCGGUAAACCCCUCAAGCUAGCAACCCAAAUUUUGGUCGGGGCAUGGAGUGCGCGGAAACGAACGUAGUACUCUGACUGCUAACAGCAUCUAGCUGUUAGUGGUAGACAGAUGAUUAUCGAAAGAAGUGGUCCUAGUCACUUCUGGAACAAAACAUGGCUUAUAGAA